rnacentral:tRNA from 1 species
GCGGAAAUAGCUCAGUUGAUAGAGCAUUAGCCUUCCAAGCUGAGGGUCGCGGGUUUGAGUCCCGUUUUCCGCUC